CUACGGGGCGCUGCAGUGAGGAAUAUUGCACAAUGGGGGGAACCCUGAUGCAGCGACGCCGCGUGGAGGAUGACGCAUUUCGGUGUGUAAACUCCUUUUAUAUGUCAAGAAAAUGACGGUAGCAUAUGAAUAAGCACCGGCUAACUCCGUGCCAGCAGCCGCGGUAGUACGGAGGGUGCAAGCGUUACUCGGAAUCACUGGGCGUAAAGGACGCGUAGGCGGGUUGGAAAGUCAGGUGUGAAAUCCUACAGCUUAACUGUAGAACUGCACUUGAAACUUCUAAUCUAGAGUAUGGGAGGGGGAGAUGGAAUUAGUGGUGUAGGGGUGAAAUCCGUAGAUAUCACUAGGAAUACCUAAAGCGAAGGCGAUCUCCUGGAACAUUACUGACGCUAAGGCGUGAAAGCGUGGGGAGCAAACAGGAUUAGAUACCCCCGUAGUC
rnacentral:rRNA from 1 species